rnacentral:rRNA from 1 species
UACGAAGGUCCCAAGCGUUAUCCGGAUUUAUUGGGUUUAAAGGGUGCGUAGGCGGGCUAUUAAGUCAGUGGUGAAAGCCCCAAGCUUAACUUGGGAACUGCCAUUGAUACUGAUGGUCUUGAGUACAUUUGAGGUGGGCGGAAUGUGUCAUGUAGCGGUGAAAUGCUUAGAUAUGACAUAGAACACCAAUUGCGAAGGCAGCUCACUACACAAUCAUUGACUCUGAGGCACGAAAGCGUGGGGAUCAAACAGG